AACGAACGCUGGCGGCAGGCUUAACACAUGCAAGUCGAACGAACUCUUCGGAGUUAGUGGCAGACGGGUGAGUAACGCGUGGGAAUAUACCUUUCGGUACGGAACAACAGUUGGAAACGACUGCUAAUACCGUAUGCGCCCUAUGGGGGAAAGAUUUAUCGCCGAGGGAUUAGCCCGCGUUGGAUUAGCUAGUUGGUGGGGUAAAGGCCUACCAAGGCGACGAUCCAUAGCUGGUCUGAGAGGAUGAUCAGCCACACUGGGACUGAGACACGGCCCAGACUCCUACGGGAGGCAGCAGUGGGGAAUAUUGGACAAUGGGGGCAACCCUGAUCCAGCCAUGCCGCGUGAGUGAUGAAGGCCCUAGGGUUGUAAAGCUCUUUCAGCGAGGAGGAUAAUGACGUUACUCGCAGAAGAAGCCCCGGCUAAC
rnacentral:rRNA from 1 species